rnacentral:rRNA from 1 species
UGCUCGAGUGGCGAACGGGUGAGUAACACGUGAGUAACCUGCCCUUGACUUUGGGAUAACUUCAGGAAACUGGGGCUAAUACCGGAUAGGAGCUCCUGCUGCAUGGUGGGGGUUGGAAAGUUUCGGCGGUUUGGGAUGGACUCGCGGCUUAUCAGCUUGUUGGUGGGGUAGUGGCUUACCAAGGCUUUGACGGGUAGCCGGCCUGAGAGGGUGACCGGCCACAUUGGGACUGAGAUACGGCCCAG